rnacentral:rRNA from 1 species
UACGUAGGGUGCAAGCGUUGUCCGGAAUUAUUGGGCGUAAAAGAGCUUGUAGGCGGUUUGUCGCGUCUGCUGUGAAAAUUUCGGGGCUCAACCCCCGAACUUGCAGUGGGUACGGGCAGACUAGAGUGUGGUAGGGGAGACUGGAAGUUCCUGGUGUAGCGGUGAAAUGCGCAGAUAAUCAGGAGGAACACCGAUGGCGAAGGCAGGUCUCUGGGCCAUAACUGACGCUGAGAAGCGAAAGCAUGGGGAGCGAACAGG